rnacentral:rRNA from 1 species
GAUGAACGCUGGCGGCGUGCCUAAUACAUGCAAGUCGAGCGAACGGACGAGAAGCUUGCUUCUCUGAUGUUAGCGGCGGACGGGCGAGUAACACGUGGAUAACCUACCUAUAAGACUGGGAUAACUUCGGGAAACCGGAGCUAAUACCGGAUAAUAUUUUGAACCGCAUGGUUCAAAAGUAAAAGACGGUCUUGCUGUCACUUAUAGAUGGAUCCGCGCUGCAUUAGCUAGUUGGUAAGGUAACGGCUUACCAAGGCAACGAUGCAUAGCCGACCUGAGAGGGUGAUCGGCCACACUGGAACUGAGACACGGUCCAGACUCCUACGGGAGGCAGCAGUAGGGAAUCUUCCGCAAUGGGCGAAAGCCUGACGGGGCAACGCCGCGUGAGUGAUGAAGGUCUUCGGAUCGUAAAACUCUGUUAUUAGGGAAGAACAUAUGUGUAAGUAACUGUGCACAUCUUGACGGUACCUAAUCAGAAAGCCACGGCUAACUACGUG